GAUGAACGCUGGCGGCGUGCCUAAUACAUGCAAGUCGAGCGAACAGAUGAGGAGCUUGCUCCUCUGACGUUAGCGGCGGACGGGUGAGUAACACGUGGAUAACCUACCUAUAAGACUGGGAUAACUUCGGGAAACCGGAGCUAAUACCGGAUAAUAUAUUGAACCGCAUGGUUCAAUAGUGAAAGACGGUUUUGCUGUCACUUAUAGAUGGAUCCGCGCCGCAUUACCUAGUUGGUAAGGUAACGGCUUACCAAGGCAACGAUGCGUAGCCGACCUGAGAGGGUGAUCGGCCACACUGGAACUGAGACACGGUCCAGACUCCUACGGGAGGCAGCAGUAGGGAAUCUUCCGCAAUGGGCGAAAGCCUGACGGAGCAACGCCGCGUGAGUGAUGAAGGUCUUCGGAUCGUAAAACUCUGUUAUUAGGGAAGAACAAAUGUGUAAGUAACUAUGCACGUCUUGACGGUACCUAAUCAGAAAGCCACGGCUAACUACGUG
rnacentral:rRNA from 1 species